GAUAACGUCGUGGCUGAGGCCGGUGUAAGACGGAGGGGGCAAGCGGUAACCGGAUUAAUUGGGGGUAAAUGGUCCGUAGGGGGACUUAUGAGACAGUGGUGAAAGCCUGGCGCGUAACGAUAGAACGGCCAUUGAGACUGUAAGUCUUAAGUAGAUUUGAGGGAGCUGGAAUAAGGAGUGUAGCGGUGAAAUGCAUAGAUAUUACUUAGAACACCAAUUGCGAAGGCAGGUUACCAAGAUAUAACUGACGCUGAGGGACGAAAGCGUGGGGAGCGAACAGGAUUAGAUACCCGAGUAGUC
rnacentral:rRNA from 1 species